UACGAAGGGGGCUAGCGUUGCUCGGAAUGACUGGGCGUAAAGGGCGCGUAGGCGGUCUGUUGCGUCGGAAGUGAAAUCCCGGGGCUUAACCCCGGGCUUGCUUUCGAUACGGGCAGACUAGAGUGUGGUAGGGGAGAAUGGAAUUCCUGGUGUAGCGGUGAAAUGCGCAGAUAUCAGGAAGAACACCCGUGGCGAAGGCGGUUCUCUGGGACGGUACUGACGCUGAGACGCGAAAAGCGUGGGGAGCGAACAGG
rnacentral:rRNA from 1 species